AUUGAACGCUGGCGGUAGGCCUAACACAUGCAAGUCGAGCGGAAGCACAGAGAUUGCUCCUGGUUACAGCGGCGGACGGGUGAGUAGGGCCUAGGAAUCUGCCUGUUUACUUUUGCUAACGUGCGGACACGGGCGCUCAUACCGCAUACGUCCUGACGACGAAAGUGGGGAAGCUGCGGACCUUACGCUCUCAGAUGAUCCUAGGUCGGGUUAGCUAGUUGGUGGGUUAACGGCCUACCAAGGCAACGAUCCGAAGCUGGUCGGAGAGGAUGAUCAGCCACACUGGAACUGAGAAACGGUACAGAAUCCUACGGGAGGCAGCAGGGGGGAAUAUUGGACAAUGGGCGCAAGCAUGAUCCAGCCAUACCGCGUGGGUGAAGAAGGCCUUCGGGUUGUAAAGCCCUUUUGUUGGGAAAGAAAAGCAGCAGGUUAAUACCCCGCUGUUCUGACGGUACCCAAAGAAUAAGCACCGGCUAACUUCGUG
rnacentral:rRNA from 1 species